UGAAAAACUAUGAAGAGAAGAGUAAAUAUAGGAGGUAGUCCUAGCGAGUCGACGAUGGUGGAAGGUCGAUACGAAACCUAUAUCGAAUAACAUCUCGGAGUUUCUAACCGAAAUCUAAAUUAGAGAGUAGGCUUAGACGGGUUUACACCGUUAUGAUGUAAACAGUGUAAAAAGUACUUGCACUGGUAUGAGGUGGUCAGUUUUGACAAUUAGGGUGGCACCGCGAAAGUAUAGUCUUUCGUCCCUUAU
rnacentral:ncRNA from 1 species